GACGAACGCUGGCGGCGUGCUUAACACAUGCAAGUCGAACGGAAAGGCCCUGCUUUUGUGGGGUGCUCGAGUGGCGAACGGGUGAGUAACACGUGAGUAACCUGCCCUUGUCUUUGGGAUAACUUCAGGAAACUGGGGCUAAUACCGGAUAGGAGCUCCUGCUGCAUGGUGGGGGUUGGAAAGUUUCGGCGGUUGGGGAUGGACUCGCGGCUUAUCAGCUUGUUGGUGGGGUAGUGGCUUACCAAGCCUUUGACGGGUAGCCGGCCUGAGAGGGUGACCGGCGACAUGGGGACUGAGAUACGGCGCAGACUCCUACGGGAGGCAGCAGUGGGGAAUAUUGCACAAUGGGCGGAAGCCUGAUGCAGCAACGCCGCGUGCGGAAUGACGGCCUUCGGGUUGUAAACCGCUUUCGCCUGUGACGAAGCGUGAGUGACGGUAAUGAGUAAAGAAGCACCGGCUAACUACGUG
rnacentral:rRNA from 1 species